rnacentral:rRNA from 1 species
ACACGUGAUUCAGAGUUUGAUCCUGGCUCAGGACGAACGCUGGCGGCGUGCUUAACACAUGCAAGUCGAACGAUGACGGUGGUGCUUGCACCACCUGAUUAGUGGCGAACGGGUGAGUAACACGUGAGUAACCUGCCCCCCACUUCGGGAUAACCUCGGGAAAUCGUGGCUAAUACCGGAUAUGAGCACUCAUCGCAUGGUGGGUGUUGGAAAGAUUUAUCGGUGGGGGAUGGACUCGCGGCCUAUCAGUUUGUUGGUGAGGUGAUGGCUCACCAAGACGAUGACGGGUAGCCGGCCUGAGAGGGCGACCGGCCACACUGGGACUGAGACACGGCCCAG